rnacentral:rRNA from 1 species
CAGCAGUGGGGGAAUUUUGGACAAUGGGGGCAAGUCUUUUCUCUUUCCUCGGAGAUGACCCAGUGAAGAAGGCCUUCGGGUUGUAAAGAUCUUUUCGCAAGGGAAGAAACAUUACCUUGUAUUAAUACCUUUCGGUACGUCCCUGAUAAGAAGCACCGGGCAAACGUCCUAACUCCUGUG